rnacentral:rRNA from 1 species
CACGUAGGGUGCGAGCGUUGUCCGGAAUUAUUGGGCGUAAAGAGCUCGUAGGCGGUGUGUCGCGUCGGCCGUGAAAACCUGCAGCUUAACUGUGGGCUUGCGGUCGAUACGGGCAUCACUGGAGUUCGGCAGGGGAGACUGGAAUUCCUGGUGUAGCGGUGAAAUGCGCAGAUAUCAAGGAAGGAACACCCGUGGCGGAAGGCGG